AGAACACACGAGCUGCGGGACAGUGAGAGGAACACACUGGUAGAAGAGCACACAGGCAGCUGGAUGUCGAGAGGAGCGGAAGAGCACAGCGACAGGCACUGGUGUCGACCAGCGGAACGACGUGGAGUUUGGCCUGGGAGGUCAGAGAAGAAUUUGGCUGCUGGGCAGCCCCACUAUAGGGGAAAACCACCUUCCCACUCCAUUCCCCUUCUGAUCUCCCCAUCCACCUCGCUGAGAGCUACCACAACUCAAUAAAAAACCUAGCACUCGAUCUCCAAGCCCACAUGUGAUCCAAUUUUUCCCGUGCACUAAAGCAAGAACCUGGGAUACAGAAAGCCGUCUGUCCUUGUGAUAAGGCAGAGGGUCUAAUUGAGCUGAUUAACACAAGCCACCUGCGGACAGCUAAGCUGAAAAAGCAUCCUGUAACACACGCCCACUGGGGCCUCAGGAGGUGUAAACAUUCACCCCGAGAGGCUGCAUGGGUCCGCGCCCAUGGUCCCCAUGACUUGCCUGUUUGCCUGCUCUGGCUAAGGGUCUUGACCAGUGGGGCACUGAAGAAGCGAGCCACACCUCCAUCGUACGCCCUGCGAGGAGGGGUCUCACUCAGUGACCCAGGCUGAAUGCAGUGGAACAAUCAUGGCUUACUGUAGCCUUGACCUUGAGGGCUUAAGCAAUCCUGCCACCUCAGCCUGCCUAGUACUGGGACUACAGAAACAUCAAAUAUAUUCAGCUCCCGUCUCUCUUCAACCAUGUAAAAUUAUUUCAACAACUAUCAGCUAUUGAAGGUGAAACUGGCAUGUCUGUUUGUUCUUCUCUUCCUGGUGUCAAAGACUCUUAAAGCAUGCAUAUAAAAUAUGAAAGUAAAUAAAACGUAAUC
rnacentral:lncRNA from 1 species